GACGAACGCUGGCGGCGUGCCUAAUACAUGCAAGUUGAGCGAUGAAGCUUGGUGCUUGCACCAAUUUGAAGAGCAGCGAACGGGUGAGUAACGCGUGGGGAAUCUGCCUUUGAGCGGGGGGCAACAUUUGGAAACGAAUGCUAAUACCGCAUAACAACUUUAAACAUAAGUUUUAAGUUUGAAAGAUGCAAUUGCAUCACUCAAAGAUGAUCCCGCGUUGUAUUAGCUAGUUGGUGAGGUAAAGGCUCACCAAGGCGAUGAUACAUAGCCGACCUGAGAGGGUGAUCGGCCACAUUGGGACUGAGACACGGCCCAAACGCCUACGGGAGGCAGCAGUAGGGAAUCUUCGGCAAGGGACGAAAGUCUGACCGAGCAACGCCGCGUGAGUGAAGAAGGUUUUCGGAUCGUAAAACUCUGUUGGUAGAGAAGAACGUUGGUGAGAGUGGAAAGCUCAUCAAGUGACGGUAACUACCCAGAAAGGGACGGCUAACUACGUG
rnacentral:rRNA from 1 species